rnacentral:rRNA from 1 species
UACGGAGGGUGCAAGCGUUGUCCGGAAUCACUGGGCGUAAAGGGCGCGUAGGCGGCUCGGUAAGUAGGGGGUGAAAUCCUGCGGCUUAACCGCAGGGCUGCCUUCUAAACUGUCGAGCUCGAGCACGGUAGAGGCAGAUGGAAUUCCCGGUGUAGCGGUGGAAUGCGUAGAGAUCGGGAAGAACAUCAGUGGCGAAGGCGGUCUGCUGGGCCGGUGCUGACGCUGAGGAGCGAAAGCGUGGGGAGCGAACAGG